rnacentral:rRNA from 1 species
UACGGAGGAUGCGAGCGUUAUCCGGAUUUAUUGGGUUUAAAGAGUGCGUAGGCGGGAUGCCAAGUCAGCGGUAAAAAUGCGGUGCUCAACGCCGUCGAGCCGUUGAAACUGGCGUUCUUGAGUGGGCGAGAAGUAUGCGGAAUGCGUGGUGUAGCGGUGAAAUGCAUAGAUAUCACGCAGAACUCCGAUUGCGAAGGCAGCAUACCGGCGCCCUACUGACGCUGAGGCACGAAAGCGUGGGUAUCGAACAGG